GAUGGAUACGUGGCCGCGUGAUUAAGGCAUACCAGGGACCCGAUGGUCAGGUGCGUAAAGUGGAUGUUCAAACGAAUACGGGUAUUCUUCAACGACCAGCGAUCAAGGUGGCUCUCUUGGACGUGCUCGAAGAUAGUAAGGCCAACCAAUGAUAGGCAUUACGGGUCGGGGUGUUAAUAACCUUUCCAACAAGCCCCUCGUUCGCUGCAAUCACUGCUUCAUCUACUCGAUGCGGCGAGGCGUAGGUAUGCCGGAGCAAGUCGGCGCGUCGACGAAGACCGGAUAAUAAAUAGACAAAGCUAAUUGUAAACAAACGAAACAGAGAGGAAUCAUCUGGACCACAUUGUGCGAUAGGUUAUCUUUAGUAUAAUAAUUAAGAUAUAUCGGUAAAUCAAAUACCACUAAUCUCAAAUUGAGCAAAGGUCGAUUGUGGUACGAGCUACCUUAAUAUGUCGCAGAGGUUUGCUAUGUAGAGAACAGGUUUGAAUUACUUAUCAUCUGAAAAUCAUCUCCAAGAGUGCAAUUGUCUACUUGAAGACAUCGAGAAGAAACUAAUUUUCGAGUCUCGCCAAAAACGGACUGCGAAAACUUCUACACCUACAUUUAUCGAAGCUCCACUGCGGCAUGCUGACCAGGGCUUUUACCGGCCACUGCAAACUAAAUAAUCACAUGGCAACUAUUCAGCGCGUUGAGUCUUUUUCAUGUGAUCUUUGUGAAUCCGACUACGGAACCUCAUAUCAUCUGAUAUGCAACUGUCCAGCAGUAGCGCAACUGCGAUUUCGAGUUUUCGGCCGUCCUUAUAUAGACGAA